rnacentral:snRNA from 1 species
GUGCUUGCUUCGGCAGCACAUAUACUAAAAUUGGAAUGAUACAGAGAAGAUUAGCAUAGCCCCUGCGCAAUGAAGACACGCAAAUUCAUGAAGUGUUCCAUAUUUUU